rnacentral:rRNA from 1 species
UGAACGCUAGCUACAGGCUUAACACAUGCAAGUCGAGGGGCAGCAUGGUCUUAGCUUGCUAAGACUGAUGGCGACCGGCGCACGGGUGAGUAACACGUAUCCAACCUGCCGUCUACUCUUGGACAGCCUUCUGAAAGGAAGAUUAAUACAAGAUGGCAUCAUGAGUCCGCAUGUUCACAUGAUUAAAGGUAUUCCGGUAGACGAUGGGGAUGCGUUCCAUUAGAUAGUAGGCGGGGUAACGGCCCACCUAGUCUUCGAUGGAUAGGGGUUCUGAGAGGAAGGUCCCCCACAUUGGAACUGAGACACGGUCCAAACUCCUACGGGAGGCAGCAGUGAGGAAUAUUGGUCAAUGGGCGAGAGCCUGAACCAGCCAAGUAGCGUGAAGGAUGACUGCCCUAUGGGUUGUAAACUUCUUUUAUAAAGGAAUAAAGUCGGGUAUGGAUACCCGUUUGCAUGUACUUUAUGAAUAAGGAUCGGCUAACUCCGUG